CACACAGCCACUAGAGGCACUUACGUGUCAUUAGGCAACUGUUGGUCGCUUAACUCACAGUGAAUGUCCUCACACUAUGCAUGAGGACAUCCAGCGUCAGCGAAAACCCCAUAGGAAAACAUGAUUUGAUGCCUGACACAGCACCGACAAACAUCUUCGCUGGAUUCAGAUAAGUGAAUUGAGGGUUUUUAACCCUUUCUGCUCUGCUUGGGGGCACAUGCGAUGGGGGCAC